rnacentral:snRNA from 1 species
GGAUGUGAGGGCGAUCUGGCUGCGACAUCUGUCACCCCAUUGAUCACCAGGGUUGAUUUGGCUGAUCUAGCUGGCUAGGCAGGUGUCCCCUUCCUCCCUCAAUGCUCCAUGUGCAUCCCUCCCGAAGCUGCACACUCAGUAGAAGAGGACGACCACCACCUCGGUCAAGGGUAUAGGAGUAGCUGUGCUCCCCUGCUAGAACCUCCAAACAAGCUCUCAAAAAAGAAAUAUGGUGGGUUCCACCUAUUUUUAUAACUUGAUUUAUUAUAUACUCAAAGUACAUGCAAUAGAUGCAAAUGGUGGAAGAGUAUAACAAU